UACGGAGGGAGCUAGCGUUGUUCGGAAUUACUGGGCGUAAAGCGCACGUAGGCGGCUUUGUAAGUUAGAGGUGAAAGCCCGGAGCUCAACUCCGGAACUGCCAUUGAAACUGUAAGACUUGAGGAUGAGAGAGGUGAGUGGAAUUCCCAGUGUAGAGGUGAAAUUCGUAGAUAUUGGGAAGAACACCGGUGGCGAAGGCGGCUCACUGGCUCAUAUCUGACGCUCAGGCGCGACAGCGUGGGGAUCAAACAGG
rnacentral:rRNA from 1 species